UUUUAAAUUUAUUUAUUAAUAAUUUAUUUUACAUUUAUAAGUGGAAAACUGCGUAUUUGUUAUUUCGUUUCUGAUUGGCUCACAAGCCUCGAGACGCGUGCAGUGAGUGGUGACGUGUCUGCGGCGUUUUUCAAACUCGUAGAGACGGUUGGUGGCUGGUAGACCAAACAAAGCUAGGAGAUAUCCAGCUAAAACUGCGGUAAAGCAGCGGCGAAGUCAGAAAAAGUCUGUUUUCUGUGUGAGGGGGAAAGAUUGAACUUUGAACUUUGUGUACCUGUGGAUUACGAGCCAAGCCCAGACGAUUGAACCAGAGUACAAAACCACUAGCCUCACACAGUGCUUCAGUAACAGCUUCUUCUCCUCCCUGAUGUCAAAUGCGCAGUGUUUCCAGACUAAGACACAGCACCAAAUGUAUUAUUUAUGGUAUGAUUAGUGCUUAAUCUGACUUUUUAAACGUUGAGAGAAAUAUUGUGUAGUUGGAGAUUAGCAUAAGUGGGUUUGUCCAUUUAAACACACAACUGAUAAUAAUUUUGAAAAC
ensembl:lncRNA